rnacentral:misc_RNA from 1 species
UAGCAAAAUUGUCCCUGAACUAGAUGCCAGCCAUGUCACAGAGCUGAGAAUGUUGGGCCUUUAUUAAUUUGAAAUUUUCUGCAUUGCUAUAAUCUCAGUCUUGCUUUCCUGUGGAUGGAAGUCAUUUGUGCAUCAUGGAGGAAGUAAAUUCAUUGGUUCUAAAUAAUAUAUAUGAGGUUUUUCCUUUGUGUGAUUGGUUUUGUUUUUGGACAUGGCUGGAUAGUGUGCCCUUGCCCUCACUUGUAUAGGGGAAUAUGGGCAUCGUCUAAUCCAAUUUCAAACUGCACAGUAUCUUUACCGGUUCCUCCACCUGUAUUUCCGUCGUCAUUGUGUAUUAAGAAACCAGCUUCAUAGAGAAAAAUGUCC